AUGUCGCUCAAGGCGUUUAAAGUUUCGGAGACGCUCUUAAAGUGAAGUCCAUUGAGUUCAGAACUGAGUCUUUCAUUAAACUACAGAGAGGGAAUUCAGUGCUCUUGCCAUGAGGUCACCGUCCCAUCGAGAGGCGUCCCAUGCCAGGAACCAGCCGGUGAAGGUGGGGGGCUCAUGUCCCUGCUUUACCACAACCAAAGGAGUCCCCUUGUCCCGUCCUGAUGGGUCUGUCUCAAUGUAGAUCUUUGCUGCAAAAGUACAACAAUAUUCAGAAAGUUAAAUGAUCAUAUUUAUUAGUUAGCAAAAAGACGACAUAUUGAAAAUGUUGAUUUUUGUAUUUUAAAUUUCAUGUUUAUCCCUUUAAUUUGACUCAAAUGAAUGUGUGCCUGAGGCUUCUCACCGGAUUUCACAGACUCAGUCCUCUCCACCUCAUUGGCAUCCUUCCCAAUCCACACAAAAACCUGAGAGGGAAAUCAAGAGUCAUCAUGGCUACACCCAAGGCAGGAGAUACCUUUGAAUCUUAAACAUAAUCCAUGAGGAAGUCAUAAAGAGAGAUAAGCGUCUAACCGAAUCCCAGACAUCCAGCAGCAUGACAUCAUCUUCAGCCAGAUCAUCUUGGUUAAACUCACCAGGUACUUCUUCGAUCUAUAGUUGUAAAAGUCAGUUUUCAAUCAGUAGUUCAGUUUGACCGUUUAUAUCUGAUCAUUAAGCACAGACAGGUUCUGUUAUACAUGGUCAGCAUUGGCUCC
ensembl:processed_transcript